UUACCCACAGUGCUUUCAGGCAAAGCAGGUAUUUUUUGGCAACAGGAAGGGUUAUGAGUAGCUCUUGACUGAAGGUGUGUGUAUUUGUGUGUGUGCAAAGACGGUAAGCACUCUCAGGAUAAUGAAAAUUGUCCUUCUAAAAUGUAAGAGAUGAUUGUGGGUGCUCAUCCGACGUCUCUCUCAUCCAGAAUGUUCCGUAAGUAACAGCAUUGAUGAUGACAAUUGAAAUCUUGAUGAAAAUGGCUCAGAAACAUCUCGCAUAUAUCUCUCUCUGUCACACGCACACACAUUCAUACCAGGAUGAAAGGCUUUUUGAGAGCCUAAGAUGAAAGCUGGCUUGUUUCUUUGCAUCUGGUACUCUUUAGGAAUAGAAAGGGAAUAGCUAAGAAGAGUUAGAGAAGAGAGGAGGAGAGAAGACAGGAGUGCCUACGCACUGUCUGAUGCAGUUUUCACGAAACAGUAGCAGGACUCAACCCAAAAAGCCUGCCGGCUCCGCAGCUGUUCCAAAGCCUGCAGCAUCAUGGGGUCUCGCAAUAACACUGGCCAACAACCGUCACAGGAAGAGACGAUGUCCUACAUAAAAGGAUGUGAAGGGGUGGAGCCAGAAGAGAAGAAGAGAAAUGCACCUAUGGCGAUGAAGCGACUUUUUAAUAUUCAUGAGGUGAGGAACCACAGCGGUGCGCGGCUUCAAAAUCAGGAAGUAGUGAAGACGCUGUUCCUCAUCUCCUCCAGACACACUCCAUUUUUCACUGUUCUUUUCUUCUCUGCAUUCUCAGUCCUUCUCUAUUUAUUUUCAUGAAUUACGUUGUGCUUGUGUCAAGGUAUAAGUGUGUGGAUGUGCGCUGGAAGUCGGUCCACUCGGUGGGAGACCUGAACAGAUCUCUCUUCUCUCUGCACUCACUUCCACCUCCACUCCAGGGGACGCACACCUCUCGGCAAAUUGCCCUAGCAGCUAGUUUCGCACACACAUACUGUACAGAUGCUUUCAACAGCCAGAUUGGGCUCUUGUAUUUAUGUGCACAUUUGUAAACCACAAACCUCUUCUCGUGCCAAUUUUUACACUAGUCUCUAAGGUCUCAGUGCAUGUUUUUAUUCAUAUACAUACUGCAUGUAUGUUAUGAUUACAUCAGAUGAUAUGAUGUGGAUUAAAUUAUAUUUAUUUUAAAAAAAUAAGAUUUUAUACAAUAAAUAAAAUGUAUACAAUCAUUUUGCUCUAGCUGUUCCAAACCUGUAUGAGUUUCUUUCUUCUGUUGAACACAAAAGUGGAAUGUCACGGAAUUUGCCAAAUUUUGGACGGAUAAAUCAAGAGUAGGUCAGUGCACUUAAACUAAAAUGCGAUAUGGACUAGUGUCUGUGAAUAGAAAAGACUAUUUAAAUAUGUUCUAUGUGUCUCUGUGUGAAUUAAUGGUGCAGAUGUGCAGUUUUGUUUACAUACUGAAGCACGUUACGCUCGUGCUUUCAGUCUCUGCCGCCUCAAUAUAUAAGUACAUGAAAAUUAUCUAUAGAACUGCUCUGAGAGUAACUUCAUGAGCAUUUUACCAAUUCUUUUGAGUAAACUAUCAUAUUAUGGUGGUGAUGUCAAGGUCUUCACAGCAACCCAUCAAAAUAAAUGUUCAGUUUAACUUGAAUAAACCAUGACGGAUAUAUAAGCUAAUGUAAUGAUAGUA
rnacentral:lncRNA from 1 species